CACACACUAACUCUUUCAAUCAACAUUCUAUCCCAUUCCAUUGUCUUUAACUGACUUGACUGAUUUUGUCAUGUAAACUGCCAUUCAAAUCAUUACUAUUGUAUGUCAUUAAACUACAAAAUUGUAAGGUGGCCAUCAGGCAUAUUUGUAAAACAAUCAAUAUACCUAUGUUAAGGAUAAAGAUUUUAUAAGUCCUUCACACUAAUUCAAUAAAAAUGAUUGAUUUCAAUCUAUACUUGUCACAUCAAGCAAUUAAUUAAAAGUCCAGUCACAUUAUCUUCUCACAGUAUCUUAAUCACAAUUUUGUAAAGUGGCAGUUCUUUUAACCACUGUUCGUUUAUUUGUUGUUAUAGUCAAAGUACCCAUUAUAUUGUCCUCCAGGAUGUUGCAGGGGAGAAAAGACAGAUUAAGACACAUUCUCGCCCUCAGAGGUUCUAGUAGCCUCAAUAUGUCCAUAAAACUUCAUUAGAGUCCUGGCUACUUGACAAAAAUGCAUGUUCUUCCUCAAAAGGGUCAUGAAUAAUGCCAUACACUUCACUUCUAAAAAGUAACAGGAAUCUUAUUUAUAAUACACCAUGCGAAAAUAAAAUUAGCUAACUCAUAUUCAGCUGCAUGUGGGCACCUGCAGGUAGCAAUUACCAGUUGUCUAUAAAGUAUGACUUAUAGUGCUCAUUAUUCUUAUAAUACAUAUUUUUAUAAGUCAUCAAUAAAGGAAAAGAAAACUAGAGCUCAACUUUUCAAAAAACUAUACACAAUAGGUAAAACAUUAUGCAAUAUCACAAUCAAGGGGUCAAAUUACUAUCCACAUAACACCAAUUUCAUUUUACCAUUUCUGUCCAGAUUAAAAUGUGAGAGAUACGGAAAGAAAACACCACAUUCAUAAGGGAUACUUAACACACAAUGUUUCGCUAACAUGGGUGCAUCUUCCCAUUCCAUUCCUAUUCCUACAGAAGAGCCAGACACUGACAGGAUCAGAAUGCCACAUUACUAAGAGGCCAACUCAAAAAUAACAAAAAGGAAGGCUUGGCCAUGCUUGGUGAAAUGUUAUAAGCCCAUUUUAAUGUUUUGUGGUAAAAAUUUGAAACGCACACAUAAGAGAGUGUUGUAUAAUUUACUACUCUGUACCCAUUAGUUGGCUUCACUGAGUAUCAACACCAGGACAAUCUGCUUUGUCCAUACUGUUCCCAAACCCCACCCCCAAGCCCCAUCCUAUAUCUACUGAAUUAUUUUAAAUAACUGAAAUAACUGCUUAAAUAUUUACCUUUCACAUCUUUCAGAAACACUUAGGUUGACUAAAUAUCAUCUAAUAUAGAACAGAAAACUAUGGCACUUAUCAAAAGCCAAAGAGCUUGACUAAAUUACCUGAGCUCCUGCUGCAUCAAUUAUUGAGCAGAAAAUGCUACCACCUUGGCUUGGUUGAUGUCAGGUCUUAAUAAUAUCUUAGGUGUUGCACGAUCAGAGCAGUUCCAAGAAGAAUGAUCCUUGCCCUAAAUCAUGUCUUCCCAUGCCCAUUCCCCAAAUCGGCCUUACUAACUAAAUUUUCACUAUAAG
rnacentral:lncRNA from 1 species